GUAUAAUUUUUAAAAUGUUUUAUUAUUUUGAAAAUAAUGUUGUAAUUCAUGCCAGGGACUGACAAAAGACUUGAGACAGGAUGGUUAUUCUUGUCAGCUAAGGUCACAUUGUGCCUUUUUGACCUUUUCUUCCUGGACUAUUGAAAUCAAGCUUAUUGGAUUAAGUGAUAUUUCUAUAGCGAUUGAAAGGGCAAUAGUUAAAGUAAUGAGCAUGAUGAGAGUUUCUGUUAAUCAUGUAUUAAAACUGAUUUUUAGCUUUACAAAUAUGUCAGUUUGCAGUUAUGCAGAAUCCAAAGUAAAUGUCCUGCUAGCUAGUUAAGGAUUGUUUUAAAUCUGUUAUUUUGCUAUUUGCCUGUUAGACAUGACUGAUGACAUAUCUGAAAGACAAGUAUGUUGAGAGUUGCUGGUGUAAAAUACGUUUGAAAUAGUUGAUCUACAAAGGCCAUGGGAAAAAUUCAGAGAGUUAGGAAGGAAAAACCAAUAGCUUUAAAACCUGUGUGCCAUUUUAAGAGUUACUUAAUGUUUGGUAACUUUUAUGCCUUCACUUUACAAAUUCAAGCCUUAGAUAAAAGAACCGAGCAAUUUUUUGCUAAAAAGUCCUUGAUUUAGCACUAUUUACAUACAGGCCAUACUUUACAAAGUAUUUGCUGAAUGGGGACCUUUUGAGUUGAAUUUAUUUUAUUAUUUUUAUUUUGUUUAAUGUCUGGUGCUUUCUGUCACCUCUUCUAAUCUUUUAAUGUAUUUGUUUGCAAUUUUGGGGUAAGACUUUUUUUAUGAGUACUUUUUCUUUGAAGUUUUAGCGGUCAAUUUGCCUUUUUAAUGAACAUGUGAAGUUAUACUGUGGCUAUGCAACAGCUCUCACCUACGCGAGUCUUACUUUGAGUUAGUGCCAUAACAGACCACUGUAUGUUUACUUCUCACCAUUUGAGUUGCCCAUCUUGUUUCACACUAGUCACAUUCUUGUUUUAAGUGCCUUUAGUUUUAACAGUUCACUUUUUACAGUGCUAUUUACUGAAGUUAUUUAUUAAAUAUGCCUAAAAUACUUAAAAAAAAAA
rnacentral:lncRNA from 1 species